GCCGGGUGUGGUGGCGCACACCUAUGAUCCCAGAGCUCUGGAGGCAGAGGCAGGAGGAUGGAAAGUUCCAGAGCAGUCUAGUCAAUAUAGUGAGACCCUGUCUCCA
rnacentral:sRNA from 1 species